UACGUAGGGUGCGAGCGUUAAUCGGAAUUACUGGGCGUAAAGCGUGCGCAGGCGGUUUUGUAAGCCAGAUGUGAAAUCCCCGGGCUUAACCUGGGAAUGGCAUUUGGGACUGCAAGGCUUGAGUGCGGCAGAGGAGACUGGAAUUCCUGGUGUAGCGGUGGAAUGCGCAGAUAUCAGGAGGAACACCGAUGGCGAAGGCAGAUCGUCUGGGCCGUAACUGACGCUGAGGAGCGAAAGCAUGGGGAGCGAACAGG
rnacentral:rRNA from 1 species